rnacentral:pre_miRNA from 1 species
UCUUAUGGAUGAGCAAAGAAAGUAAUUUCUUGACAUGAAGUCUAUUUCUGGUGAAGAUGCUGUGAA